rfam:Sus scrofa isolate TJ Tabasco breed Duroc chromosome 1, whole genome shotgun sequence.
UCCCUGGUGGUCUAGUGGCUAGGACUCAGUGCUGUCACCACUGAGGCCCAGGUUCAAUCCCUGGUCUCGGAA